ACUCAUAGAAAAGAUUUUCGGCAAAUAAACAGUAUGCUAUGCAUUAUUGCUGCAAGAUACCCUGUGUGUGCCCUGACAGGCUCAUUCCGUUCCUGUCAGUGAAUAUGCAAGACAGGGAGGCCAGGGUGACACUGGCCCAAAGCUAGAAACACAGCCUGGAAUUUUGGCAAAUACGUUCAUUAGUUUCAUUCUGUAGCACUUAUUGACAAAAUCUGCUAGCACUGUUAGUGCUGUCUCUCCCAGACACCCAUGUAAUACCCCCCACUUUGUAAUUAAAGAGAGAGAGCAUAUUACUUGAUUGGCUGUUUCGCCUUUAGCCUAUUGGCACUUUUACUUGCUCUUUUUCUUUGCCAAUUAUGCUGUUGUUAAAAUGUCAACUUUAAUAUAUUCUUCCUAUUUGCAGCAGGCAAUUAAAUGCAGAUGAACAACACAGCAAAUCCGACUUGUGCGCUAUAAUUUACAAAUGUUAUGCCAACAAAGGGGUCUCAGUCUCUAACUGCUGAGAAUAGUUUGGCUCUGACCAAAUGGGCUCGCUGAUGCUGAAAGAAAUGGAAGGCGAUCAUGGCUGGGCGCUGGGGACAAGCUAUCGGCAAAGCAAAUCUUCAGAACACAAAAACAGUUUGCAUAUCGAGGAAGAGCCAUUAUGUGACAAAAAUAGAAAAAAAUCCAACAAAAUGGGUGUUUGCUACGCACUCAGUCAUCACUACAAAGAUGAAAUAUGUGAAAAUGGAACCUAGCCAGAACUAGGGGAAGUCUGAAAAUCUAAACCUGGAAACUAUUAAAAGGGGGUCUCAUUAUUGUAAUUUCCUCCUUACACAGACAUUAACAAUUACAAUGUAUAAAUACUCAGUAAUUUUAACUUAUAUACAGUGGAUCCUGCUGUUUCCCAAAUGGUCAUACUCAAACUACCACAUUUCUUGAUUCCCAGAGUCCUCCCAAAUAAUAUGUACUGACUGAUGACUGCCGUGAGCUUAUGUAAAAUUACCUAUUAAAAAAUCUACACAUA